AGAGUUUGAUCCUGGCUCAGAACGAAUGAAGGGGACAUGCUUAACACAUGCAGUCGAACGGUUGAUGUGGUUUUACCUGCAUUGAUAGUGGCAGACGGGUGAGUAACACGUGGGAACGUACCCUUUAGUUCAGAAUAACGUUUGGAAACGGACGCUAAUACUGGAUAAGCCCUUAGGGGGAAAGAUUUAUCGCUAGAGGAGCGGCCCGCGCUAGAUUAUGUAGUUGGUAGGGUAAAGGCUUACCAAGCCUAUGAUCUAUAGCUGGUUUGAGAGGAUGAUCAGCCACCCUGGGACUGAGACACGGCCCAGACUCCUACGGGAGGCAGCUGUGGGGAAUAUUGGACAAUGGGGGGAACCCUGAUCCCGCAAUGCCGCGUGAGUGAAGAAGGCCUUCGGGUUGUAAAACUCUUUUGUUAGGGACGAUGAUGACGGUACCUAACGAAUAAGCCCCGGCUAACUUCGUGCCAGCAGCCGCGGUAAUACGAAGGGGGCUAGCGUUGUUCGGAAUGACUGGGCGUAAAGGGUGUGUAGGCGGUUAGACACGUCAGAUGUGAAAUCCCCCGGGCUUAACCUGGGAAUGGGAUUUGAUACGGUAUAGCUAGAGAUUGGUAGAGGGUACAGGAAUUUGCCAGUGUAGAGGUGAAAAUUCUUAGAGAUUCGCAGGAACGCCGGUGGGCGAAUGGCGGCUACCUGGGGCCAAUACUUGACGCUGAGGGACGAAGAGCGUGGGGGAGCAAAUCAGGGAUUAGAUACCCUGGUAGUCCACGCCCGUAAACGAUGAGUGCUAGAUGUUGCGUGUGAACGCAUGCAGUGUCGCAGUUAACGCAUUAAGCACUCCGCCUGGGGAGUACGGUCGCAAGAUUAAAACUCAAAGGAAUUGACGGGGGCCCCGCACAAGCGGUGGAGUAUGUGGUUUAAUUCGAAGCAACGCGCAGAACCUUACCAGCCUUUGACAUGGGAAGUUUAGAGGAUAGAGAUAUCCUCUUUUCAGUUCGGCUGGCUUCCACACAGGUGCUGCAUGGCUGUCGUCAGCUCGUGUCGUGAGAUGUUGGGUUAAGUCCCGCAACGAGCGCAACCCUCACUACUAAUUGCCAUCAGGUUUGGCUGGGCACUUUAGUGGAACUGCCGGUGAUAAGCCGGAGGAAGGUGGGGAUGACGUCAAGUCCUCAUGGCCCUUAUGGGCUGGGCUACACACGUACUACAAUGGCGGUGACAGAGGGCAGCGAAAGAGUUAAUUUGGAGCGAAUCCCUAAAAGCCAUCUCAGUUCGGAUUGUCCUCUGCAACUCGAGGACAUGAAGUCGGAAUCGCUAGUAAUCGCGGAUCAGCAUGCCGCGGUGAAUACGUUCAUGGGCCUGGUACACACUGCCCGUCACACCAUGGGAGUUGGUUAUACCUUAAGACGGUGCGCUAACCCGUAAGGGGAGUAGCCGACCCCGGUAGAAUUUUAUGGCUGGGGUGAAGUCGUAACAAGGUAACC
rnacentral:rRNA from 1 species